rnacentral:rRNA from 1 species
CGAAGGGUGCAAGCGUUAAUCGGAAUUACUGGGCGUAAAGCGUGCGUAGGCGGUUCGUUAAGUCUGUCGUGAAAGCCCUGGGCUCAACCUGGGAAUGGCGAUGGAUACUGGCGAGCUAGAGUGUGAUAGAGGAUGGCGGAAUUCCCGGUGUAGCGGUGAAAUGCGUAGAGAUCGGGAGGAACAUCCGUGGCGAAGGCGGCCAUCUGGAUCAACACUGACGCUGAGGCACGAAAGCGUGGGGAGCAAACAGGAUUAGAUACCCUGGUAGUCCACGCCCUAAACGAUGCGAACUGGAUGUUGGGCUCAACUCGGAGCUCAGUGUCGAAGCUAACGCGUUAAGUUCGCCGCCUGGGGAGUACGCUCGCAAGAGUG